AUUGAACGCUGGCGGCAGGCCUAACACAUGCAAGUCGAACGGGUGACGGACGGGUGAGUAAUGGCUGGCUAACUGCCCGAUGGGGGUAGAUACCUACUGGAGACGGUAGCAAAUAACGCGUACCAUUGGAUGUGCCCAGGUGGAACUAGCUAGUAGGUGGGGUAACUGCCAACCUAGGCGACGGUCCCUAGCUGGUCUGAGAGGAUGAUCAGCCACACUGGAACUGAGACACGGUCCAGACUCCUACGGGAGGCAGCAGUGGGGAAUAUUGGACAAUGGGCGAAAGCCUGAUGCAGCCAUGCCGCGUGUAUGAAGAAGGCCUUCGGGUUGUAAAGCACUUUCAGUUAGGAGGCGUUACUCGCAGAAGAAGCACCGGCUAACUCCGUGCCAGCCGCCGCGGUAAUUC
rnacentral:rRNA from 1 species